rnacentral:lncRNA from 1 species
AUCUUAGCAUCCGAUAAACGUGGUGUGAAGGAUCGAGAUGUAUCUUCUCCAAGAUACGAAAAAGUUCCUCCAAGAAACGAAGAGUUAAGAGUUUCGGCGAAAAAAUAUUUUUCUAAAAAACGAAGAGAUUUCUCCAAGAAACGAAGAUGUUGAGAAGAUAUAUUUUGUCCAAUAAAGAAAGAGGUUUCUUAAAAAAAUAAAGAGAUUGAAUAAAAAAGUGUACACUUUAAAUAAAUGCGAUUAAUAAUUAUUAAAUAGUUAUAAAUUAUUUAUUUUUACUAUUUCUCUAACUUUUUGUGUAUAAGUUGCCAUAGACAAUGACAUCAAUUAGAACUUGAAUUUGAAGAGAAAAGAACUAUUAGAAGAAAAUAUCCUGAAUAUUAUGUUAAUUUUAAUCAAUUUGGUGAUAUUUAUUUAAUUGGCCUUUAUACACUUACUGAACAGUUAGUUUGUAAAAUUAUUUUUAAAAUUAUUUUUUGUUAAUAUGUAUUUUUUGUGAAUUUUUUUAAAAAUUGAUUAUUUACUUAUAUUUGAGUGAGUUGUAUACGAUAAAAUUGUACUUGUAAUAAUUUUUUUAAUUUA